AUGUGUUUCCUCCUCGGGGCCUCUUGUUUGUGCAGGAGGCUGGGAGCGUUUCCUCCUCCCGGAAAAGCUCCGGGUGGGCACUCACAUCCCCGACUUCCCCAGCCUCCAAAACACCUCAAAUUCAGGAAUCAGAUCCUCCCCCUGAAACCUGCAGAGCUCCCCUGCACCUCCUGCUUCUGGCUUUUAAUCCAAGAGCAGGGCCCUGAGCCCUGCCAGGGCUGGGAAUUCCAGUCAAAUCCCCAGCUGCUGCUGGAAGAGAGAAACAAUCAAAUACAGACCUGGGGAGGGUCCCACGGCAGCAAAAUCGCUGGGUUUUUCCUGCAGGGCUGGAACGAGGAAGAGAUAAACCAGGUUUGCUCCAGAGCACGGGCAAACAACUGCUUAUCACCACGUUGGCAGCCUCAAGGCUAUUGCAGGGUGUCAGGAAAAGUAUUAUUCCUCUCCUCUCCAGGGAAAGGUUCUAUUUUUGGCCCCUCCGUCACAGGGAGCUGCUGCCUGCACCCGCUGGGGGCUGGGAGAGCAGCCAGCCCUGCAGAGCCCCUUCCCCCCCGCCAAACUCACCGGGGAACACACGGAAUCUGGGGGAAACAGAGGCAGGUUUGGUUCAAGCUGCAGAACCCACCCUGCCCUGGCUGGCAGAGAAAGCUGCAGGAGAAAUUAGAGCUUUUUCCAGGGCCUGGAGGGGCUCCAGGAGAGCUGGAGAGGGGCUGGGGACAAGGGAUGGAGGGACAGGACACAGGGAACGGCUCCCACUGCCAGAGGGCAGGGCUGGAUGGGAUACUGGGCAGGAAUUGUUCCCUGGCAGGGUGGGCAGGGCCUGGCUGUGGCUGCCCCAUCCCUGGAAGUGUCUCCUGGACAGGGCUUGGAGAAAUCUGGGACAGUGGAAGGUUCCCUGCCCAUGGCAGGGGCUGGAAUGGGAUGAGCUUUAAGGUUCCUCCCAGCCCAAAGCCCAGCUGCAGAGGGGCAGAGCCAGACUGUGUGCUGGAUUUUCCAAUGACAUUUUAG
rnacentral:lncRNA from 1 species